UCAACGUGUAUGCCACUUCACUGACAUGAGACAUCAUCUGAUUUUUUGUCACUCUGUCACUUAAUUGAUUUGUCACAUUUCAGAAGUGAAUAAAAUAAACUAGAUAAUUUCAUUGUGUUAAAAUUAUAUUAAGCUUCAUAAUGGAAUCCGAAGUAGUAAAAGAGAAAAUCCACACAGAGCCUAUGCUCAACGAUCCUCGCUAUAUUACCUUAUUGAGUUUGAUAGUUCUCAUUUUUACACUCGUUUUCUGGUGGUGUUUCUCCCGGCGUCGCACUCUCCGCAAGUCCGUGCUGUUGAUGGGCCUGUCCGACUCGGGCAAGACCCUGCUCUUUGUGAGGCUGGUCUAUUCACAGUUUAGACAAACAUUCACUUCUAUGAAAGAAAAUGUUGAGGAAUACAUAACUUCAAGUAAAUCAUUAAGACUUGUAGACUUACCUGGACAAGAGAGGUUGAGGAACAAAUUCUUUGACCAAUACAAAAGUAGUGCUAAAGCUAUUGUGUAUGUCAUUGACUCUGUUACCAUUCAAAAGGAAAUAAGAGAUGUCGCUGAAUAUUUGUACACUAUUUUGUCUGACCCUGUUACCCAGAGCAAUACACCACCAGUAUUAAUAUUGUGUAACAAGCAAGAUCAGCCGAUGGCUAAGGGGAGUCAAGUUAUCAAGAGCUUGUUGGAAAAAGAAAUAAAUCUAGUGCGUGUGACCAAGUCAAACCAACUCCAAUCGGUGGAUCCAUCGCAGAGCAACAAUGCGACAUACCUCGGCAAAAUCGGCAAGGAUUUCGAAUUCUCCCACAUCAACAUCCGCGUGGACAUUGCCGAAUGUUCGGCGAACACCGGCGACGACGAAAACCCCGUCGACAUCAAAACUGUCCAAGACUGGAUUUCCAAACUUUAAAUUAGGAUUAAAAUAAAUUUUGGCAUUUAAUAAGGUUUCCUAAGCCAAAAAAAAUAAACGUUUGCUUAAACAAGUCUCGAAUUUUACUCCUGCAAACAUUUUAUCAAAUUACUUUGAAUAUUUUUGUAUAUUUGUAUUACAUAUCGAAAACAUUUUUUUGGUAUAUGAUUCUCAAAUUGUAAUACUUAUGCAUUUAGUAUUUUGUAAGUCAAUAUUUUCUCGAGAAAUAAAUGACUGAUUUUUA
rnacentral:misc_RNA from 1 species